rnacentral:rRNA from 1 species
UACAGAGGUCUCAAGCGUUGUUCGGAUUCAUUGGGCGUAAAGGGUGCGUAGGUGGCGUCGUAAGUCGGGUGUGAAAUUUCGGAGCUUAACUCCGAAACUGCAUUCGAUACUGCGGUGCUUGAGGACUGGAGAGGAGACUGGAAUUUACGGUGUAGCGGUGAAAUGCGUAGAUAUCGUAAGGAAGACCAGUGGCGAAGGCGGGUCUCUAGACAGUUCCUGACGCUGAGGCACGAAGGUCAGGGGAGCAAACGGG